UCCACUGUGACCACCAGGAAAGCGAUGAUGCCUUGCCGGGUAUGGGAUUCAGGAGCGGUAUCGGAGCUCAGAGGCCCGAAUUCUGUACUGGGAAUUCUGCCAUCACCACCAGUAAGAAAAUAAUUCCACUUUGGCUUAGAGGGGAGAAAGGUUUUGCUUUAGAGUCUUGGCCCCUGACUGUCGGUUAGUCAAGCAUAAACAGAUCAACAAAAACCAGAAAUGUUUAUAAUAUACAGUAGCAGCAGCUGCAAUAGGAUGGUUCAAUGCAGACUUUAAUUGAAAUAAUAUCAGUUUUCUUUCAAAUAUAUUGAAUGAAUCAAUUCCAGCCUCGUACCUGAGGUUGAAUAGAAAUGUAAUUACAUACAGUGACCAAUAGAGACCACCAGAGGCCCAGAAUAUAGAGAUGUGAGAUGAGAACUCAUCACACAUAGUUCAUGGUUGCAUGGGCCCAAGACCCUCAGUCCAUUGUGUGUGUGUGUGUGUGUGUGUCUGAUGGAGGUGUGUGUUUGUGUGUGUGUGUCUGAUGGAGACGUGUGUGUGUGUGUCUGAUGGAGGUGUGUGUUUGUGUGUGUGUGUCUGAUGGAGGUUUGUGUGUGUGUGUGUGUCUGAUGGAGGUGUGUGUUUGUGUGUGUGUGUCUGAUGGAGGUGUGUGUUUGUGUGUGUGCGUCUGAUGGAGGUGUGUGUUUGUGUGUGUGUGUCUGAUGGAGGUGUGUGUUUGUGUGUGUGCGUCUGAUGGAGGUGUGUGUUUGUGUGUGUGUGUCUGAUGGAGGUGUGUGUUUGUGUGUGUGCGUCUGAUGGAGGUGUGUGUUUGUGUGUGUGUGUCUGAUGGAGGUUUGUGUGUGUGUGUGUCUGAUGGAGGUGUGUGUUUGUGUGUGUGUGUCUGAUGGAGGUGUGUGUGUGUGUGUGUGUGUCUGAUGGAGGUGUGUGUUUGUGUGUGUGUGUCUGAUGGAGGUGUGUGUUUGUGUGUGUGUGUGUCUGAUGGAGACGUGUGUGUGUGUCUGAUGGAGGUGUGUGUUUGUGUGUGUGUGUGUCUGAUGGAGGUUUGUGUGUGUGUGUGUCUGAUGGAGGUGUGUGUUUGUGUGUGUGUGUCUGAUGGAGGUGUGUGUUUGUGUGUGUGUGUCUGAUGGAGGUGUGUGUUUGUGUGUGUGUGUCUGAUGGAGGUGUGUGUUUGUGUGUGUGUGUCUGAUGGAGGUGUGUGUUUGUGUGUCUGAUGGAGGUGUGUGUUUGUGUGUGUGUGUGUCUGAUGGAGGUGUGUGUGUGUGUGUGUGUGUGUGUGUGUGUGUGUGUGUGUGUGUGUGUGUGUGUGUGUGUGUGUGUGUGUGUGUGUCUGAUGGAGGUGUGUGUUUGUAUGUGUGUGUCUGAUGGAGGUGUGUGUUUGUGUGUGUGUGUCUGAUGGAGGUGUGUGUUUGUGUGUGUGUGUGUGUGUCUGACAGAGGUUUGUGUGUGCAUGUGUUCAGUGGUGUCUGAGUAAAGCAUUCUGGGCAUAGAUGAAGAGAGCCUAAGGAGUGGGUAGUGUGGGGAAGGGGGAGCUACAGGAGAUCAUUGUUAGCGAAGGAGGAGUUGGCACUGAGAGAGAGAGAACUAUUUUUGACACUACUUGUUAACACAUAUUGCCCCUAACCACAACAUUUUAUCUUAUAGAAUUAUCGUAGUUUAGUGUGAACGCUGUAUGUGUAACCUUUCAGUUGUGUGUGUCAGAGGGAGGGAGAGUAAAGGAGAGAGAAUGUGUGUGACUAGUCUGGUAAGCAUGAGUUGGCCGGUAUAAUUGUAUUCUCUCCUCCCUGGCAUAGGCAACGUUCUGCGUUUCAUAUGAGGAGCCUGAGCGUUUAGACCAAGCUGGCACAAGAUGCCUGACACACACACACACACACACACACACACACACACACACACACACACACACACACACACACACAUACACACAAACAGCAACAAUGGUGUGCUUUAUAAGGUGCCCACCGAUGUCAUGGCAACCCCCAUAUCCUCAGAAAGAGGGAAGAUGUUGUGUGCCAAAUAAAUGCCAUGGUUACUUUUUUUAAGAAACCAAGUUGCCCAGAAACCCUUUGAAGCUUAUUAAGUGAAACCAGUGGGGAGAGAAAAAUGGAGAGAAUGAGAAAGAGAAGGAAAAGGAGAGGGGGGAAGGAAAGAGAGGGUUCAGAGAAGGAGAAGGGAGAAAGAGAAGCAGAGAAAGAAAUGGGGAAAG
rnacentral:lncRNA from 1 species